UACGUAGGGACCAAGCGUUGUUCGGAUUUACUGGGCGUAAAGGGCGCGUAGGCGGCGCGGUAUGUCGUGCGUGAAAUCUCCCGGCUUAACUGGGAGGGGCCGUGCGAAACUGCCGGGCUUGAGGUCGGAAGGGGAAAGUGGAAUUCCGGGUGUAGUGGUGGAAUACGUAGAUAUCCGGAGGAACACCAGCGGCGAAGGCGGCUUUCUGGUCCGAUACUGACGCUGAGGUGCGAAAGCGUGGGGAGCAAACAGG
rnacentral:rRNA from 1 species